UCAGCAAUUAUUCUAAUCCCACUAAUUGAAUGUCUUUGGACUGUGGGAAGUGUAUCUGGAGAGAACUGAAGCAGACAUGGAAAGAACAUGCAAAGAUUCAAACCCAGGACUUUCUUACUGUCAGCUUCUGCACCUUAACGACUUCUUGCCGGAGAAGCUCUGCUGUAGCUCAACUUCUUAGAAGUACUCUAGUUCCAGUUUCUGACAUUCAAAGUGCCAAAUCCAUCUGUUAACGCACAUUUAAACAGAACCUCAUCUACCAUUGGUCAUACACAUAGACUUGAGGAAUCCGGGAAUGAAACAAACAGCUCCUGCCUCGCAUUUCCCAUCUGCGAGCCUGGAUUUCCUGGAAUGGGAAACAAAAGAAGAGUGAAGCAUUCAAAUGGUGAAUUAACAGCACUCGGUGAAAUGUCAUAAACUCAUCAGUAUUUGGCAGUUCAU